rnacentral:rRNA from 1 species
UAGUCUGCAACUCGACUACAUGAAGCUGGAAUCGCUAGUAAUCGCGGACCAGAAUGCCGCGGUGAAUACGUUCCCGGGUCUUGUACACACCGCCCGUCACACCAUGGGAGUCGGGAAUGCCCGAAGCCAGUGACCCAAGCGAGAGCAGGGAGCUGUCGAAGGCAGGCCGGAUAACUGGGGUGAAGUCGUAACAAGGUAUC